rnacentral:rRNA from 1 species
GGAGUUAGCCGGUGCUUCUUCUGUGAGUGAUGUCCUUCCUGCCGGUUAUUGACCCGCAGGCCUUCUUCCUCACUGAAAGUGCUUUACAACCCGAAGGCCUUCUUCACACACGCGGCAUGGCUGGAUCAGGGUUGCCCCCAUUGUCCAAUAUUCCCCACUGCUGCCUCCCGUAGGAGUCUGGGCCGUGUCUCAGUCCCAGUGUGGCUGAUCAUCCUCUCAGACCAGCUACGGAUCGUCGCCUUGGUGAGCCGUUACCUCACCAACCAGCUAAUCCGACAUAGGCUCAUCCGAUAGCGCGAGGCCCGAAGGUCCCCCGCUUUCCCCCGUAGGGCGUAUGCGGUAUUAGCCUGGGUUUCCCCAGGUUAUCCCCCACUACCGGGCAGAUUCCUAUGCAUUACUCACCCGUCCGCCGCUCGCCACCAGGGAGCAAGCUCCCCGUGCUGCCGCUCGACUUGCAUGUGUUAGGCCUGCCGCCAGCGUUCAAUCUGACCAAGAUCAAACUCUGA